rnacentral:lncRNA from 1 species
GUACAAAAUUAUAGAAUUUAUCUAAAACAUGUAGAAUUUUUAGUUGACUAUCCAAUAUUUUAAAAUUUUGAUUUUACCGUGCAACCUUUUAAUUUGUUUGAGGUUUUGAGUAAAAAUAUAUUUUAUCCUCUUCUUUCACUACAACAAAAACGGUCUAUAGCGACACUUUUAAAUAUCGGUAUAGGUCAAAAAAGUGCCACUGGCUAAAUUACCGACACUUUUAAAAAGUGUUGCUAUAUGUGGGGUCGCAAGGUAUAUAGCGACAGUUAAAGAGUGUUGCUAUAACCUAAAAAAGUACUGCUAAUUUAGCAACACCUAUUCAAGCAUCUAGCAACCGUUGAAACUCUAUCUCGUUGGCUGCGGUGGCGGAGGAGAACGAGAGGGAAUGGCCCUUCGUCUAGGAUUUCAGUAGAUUGAGUGAGGGGAGAAUGGGAGAUGACAAU